CCGAGUUUACAACUCCCAAACCCCUGUGAACAUACCACUUGUUGCCUCGGCGGAUCAGCCCGCUCCCGGUAAACGGACGGCCCGCCAGAGGACCCCUAAACUCUGUUUCUAUAUGUAACUUCUGAGUAAAACCAUAAAUAAAUCA
rnacentral:misc_RNA from 1 species